CCCAGCCAGGGCCGUGCCCGCCCCUCACGGGCUCCGGGAGCUGCUCUGCCCUUCCCUGGCUCCUCUCGGCCCUCAGGGACGGGCUCUAAGAGCUGCCUUUUCCUCCUCUGAACCUCUGGACCUCGCUCCUUACCCCGGCCCCGCUUCCCCGGGCGGGAAGGGGCGGCCCCGGCUCUGAGGGCGGAGCGGGGCGGGGAGCGGAGCCCGGGCCGGCCGCGGCCGAGGCGGAAAAUCCGGGCCCGAAAUAGUGCCGGGUUUAUGGGAUUGGCGUUGUGCUGCACAGCCCGGCUCAGCUGUGCCCCACAUGGAGUUCCCCUGGGUUUGGAAGGGACUCUGAGGAGCUGGAGCGUGUCCGGCGGUUUGCGAAGGGCCGGGAGGGAUGUGGGAGCGCGGCGGUGUUUAAUCCCCACGAGGACUGCAAAAACACUGCUAAAAGGGUUGUCCGCAGCUGUGACACCGGCUUUGGACAGUGUAUUGCACCCAAGAAAAUGAAGGUAGAUGGCGUUGGAUGUGACACUUCAUGGAAAUAAGAUGCAAAAAGUAUUCCAGGGCAUGAAAUCUUGUCAUAUUUUCAGUGAAGACUUUUUUGGCAAGAAAAACUGAUUCUUCAGUCCAGGGAUGCAGAGUGUGUUGUCUGUCACUGGGGUUUUAUCCUCAUGCUGAGUUUGGACUGCCUGGCCAAAGGACAAAAGGUUUUGUCUCCUCUCACAUGUGAUGAAGUGCAGCAGAAGUGAUCUUGUGUCUCUUGGAACAGAGAACUCAGUGCUGAGCUCUACAUUUAAUAUAAAGAAGGAUUGGGCAGCAUGAGAUGGAUGCAGGAGAGUAAUAAAUGCAUUGAUGCAGUGGGGUGUAAAGCAGAGUGGAAUAAACAGCUCUGCCUACACAUCGUUCAAGUUUUAACAUUCAUUUGUUUGCUGAGUGGGCUGCUCGGGGCUGGCCCUUUCCUUGUAGUUUGCUGCAAGAAAUUAAAAUAAUUUAUGUGGGAUAAGCAUUUCUUGUACCUUUUGUGCCCAUACAAACAGUGAGCAGUGAUGAGAGGAGAGUGUGAGUGGAAGGGCACUGCAGGAGCCAGCUCAGUGCCAGGAGCUCGUGGAGGCAGGAGUCUGGAAUUCUGGAAUUCUGUACAGUGUGGAUCAGCCAGACCUGCCUUGUGUCCUAAACCUCUCCAGCCCAGAGGUUCACCUUGCAUUGGCUCCUCUGAGGUGUUUUCCUUCUCAAGAAGAUACCGUGGCAGCCAGGCUAAGAGAGGUCAGGAUCUGGAAGGAUCUAGAAAAUAAAGUGAGAGAUUUCAUGCUGUGGGUUAAAAACCACAGGGAGAAACAUUUCCUUUUUUUUUAAAAAUCUAAUCAACAUGCACAGAGAAUAACACAGAGUAACUGAGAAUAACCCAGAUCCCCACAGCUCCCACUAAAUGCUUUGAUUAUUUAUCAUUGCCCAUUUUUUAUGGAAACAGUUGACAUUAGAUUAUUAGUGACCUGGGUGGUAUUUGAUUUUUUUCCCCCUAGAGGUUAAAGACUUUGUAGUUUCCUGUUCUAGGUCCUUUUUAAAAUUCAUUUUAGAGCAUGAAAAAUAUAUUGUUCCAUCAAGUUUAUUUCCCUGACAUUUAUUCAGUGCAGAGUGUGAUCCUAAUAUUAAAGGUCUUUGAUUUGAAGCUCAGGACACAGACAAAGCUUUUCAGUGGUCUUCCCUAACACGGGAUAUUCCAUCACUGCCUGGGAAGUUAUUAUGUUGGAACAGCAUAAUUAUUUGAAGGAGUAUUUGUUUUUCAAGGAUUUGUGGGUGAUAUUAGAUGGCUCAGCCCAGUUGUGUCACAAGGUAUUAAGGUUUUUGCCUGCUGAAGCCAUAGAGCUCGGCCUAUAUAGAGCCAUAAAUAAUAUUGUGGGAGAGCCAGUGACAGACUUUGACUCCAGCUCAACUCUUUAUUACUUGUUAUAUUAAAUUUAAACACAAUUGUUGAAUUCCUUGCUGUGGGCAAAUGCUUUUUGAUGUCUCCUUCUAUUAAAGUUGUACUAUCUCUUUUAGCCUGUGAAA